CCUACGGGCGGCACCAGUGGGGAAUAUUGCACAAUGGGCGCAAGCCUGAUGCAGCCAUGCCGCGUGUGUGGAGAAGGCCUUAGGGUUGUAAAGCACUUUCAGCGGGGAGGAAAGCGCCAAGGUUAAUAACCUUGGCGAUUGACGUUACCCGCAGAAGAAGCACCGGCUAACUCCGUGCCAGCAGCCGCGGUAAUACGGAGGGUGCAAGCGUUAAUCGGAAUUACUGGGCGUAAAGCGCACGCAGGCGGUCUGUCAAGUCGGAUGUGAAAUCCCCGGGCUCAACCUGGGAACUGCAUUCGAAACUGGCAGGCUAGAGUCUUGUAGAGGGGGGUAGAAUUCCAGGUGUAGCGGUGAAAUGCGUAGAGAUCUGGAGGAAUACCGGUGGCGAAGGCGGCCCCCUGGACAAAGACUGACGCUCAGGUGCGAAAGCGUGGGGAGCAAACAGGAUUAGAUACCCGGGUAGUC
rnacentral:rRNA from 1 species